GGAGGGUUCGCAUAGCGGUCUAGUGCACGUUGUUGGAAACGACGCGUGGGGAAACCCACCAGGAGUUCGAAUCUCCUACCCUCCG
rnacentral:tRNA from 1 species